GCGGGCAUAUGACCGACCUUCAACGUUGAAAUUUGGUUGAAAUUAGGUCAGUUGUUUGUUCAACGUUGAAACAACGUUGAAACAACGGUGAAUGGUAAACGGUUGAAAAAGGUUAAUAAAAUGCUUAAAAAUCAACGUUGAAAUUUGGUUGAAAUAACGUCAGUUGUUUGUUCAACGUUGAUUCAACGUUGAAACAACGUUGAAACAACAGUGAAGUAAAUGGUUGCAGAGAGACAAUAAAAUAAUGUUUUAUAAUAUGUGAAUCAUUCAGAAAAAAAAUUAAAAACUCAUUUUAUAAAAUUGAUGACAUUAUAAAAAAAAAUGUAACAAAUAAUUGAAUAUACAGGUAGCGACGUAAUCUCGCGAGAUUACACGAGACUGGACUGUUUUAACGGCUGUCUUCGAGAUCUUGCGUAUCACACGAGAAAAUGCUUCAGAGAAAGAAGAGAGCCCUUCAAAUUAGAAAAGUGAGGAUGAUCUUGUCAAUGCUGAGAUUUUCAUGCAUCAGCAGCCACUACAUCUGGAUCAGAUUGAACAAGAAACAGACAGCAAGGGUUGUCAGGUCAGAAACAGAAUGACACACAAACACAAGAAACUUCACAGGCAGAUCAACAUGCAGUUUGAAGACGUGUGAUAAAAUACAGAGAGGUGAAGUGGUGUGUCUUUCCAGAUCUCCAAAUCAUUCCCCCUUAAAAGAUGAGCCUGAAGAGGAGAUUUGGGAAGAUGCUGUUUCAUAAGUCGCUUUGCCAGAUCACCUGUGGUCGGGAUGUCUGCUAACAAGAUGCCUUGCUGGUCUGAGCGAGUUUAAAGUCUUACACAGACAGUCCAGAAGUUCUGAAGUCCAUCUUCGAUUUCAUUGAUGCUGUUUCAUAAGUCGCUUUGCCAGAUCACCUGUGGUCGGGAUGUCUGCUAACAAGAUGCCUUGCUGGUCUGAGCGAGUUUAAAGGCUUACACAGACAGUCCAGAAGUUCUGAAGUCCAUCUUCGAUUUCAUUGAUGCUGUCAUCGUAUUAAGUACAGCAUGAGCCAGAAUAGAUGGGUGGUGGUGGCCAUAAGAAGACUGUCAACUAAACCAACAACAAAAUUCAUAUUUGCAGUUUUUCUUGAAUAAAGUUUUUCUAUUCAGAUUAAUAAAAUGACUUUUAAACAUGAUUUUGUUUCAUAUUUUAUGAUUUUAUUCUAUAUUUAGAAAAUUCCACUUCUGCACUACUAACUGGAAACCUAACUGUUUGAAAGAAUGUGUUUUUUAUCCAUAAAAAAAUAUUUUUAACAGCUGCUUUCAUGUUUAUUUGGAAAGGGUAGGCACCUGCCAUCUUAUUUGUCCACAUUUAAACUUUACCUUCCUUAAGUGUUUAGUUUUAUGAAUGGGGUUGUACUGUAAGUUAUGCGUAGCAAGUUGCAUUCAUAUGAUAAUUGCAUUAAAAAUGACACGUUUACAGUAAAUCAUUUAGUGAGUAUUGCAGUGUAAAGUAAAAAUCUAUAUUUAGUGUUAAAAACAACAAGGAAAUAGAAGGUUGAAAUUGCGUCAUGAUAUCAACCAUAAU